UACAGAGGAGCCAAGCGUUGUCCGGAUUGACUGGGCGUAAAGCGCACGCAGGCGGACGCGCGCGUGGGGUGUGAAAUCUGGCCGCUUAACGGCCAGGCGCCAUCCCAUACGGCGCGUCUGGAGCAAUGCAGAGGUCGGUGGAAUUGCCGGUGUAGUGGUGAAAUUCGUAGAUAUCGGGAGGAACACCAGUGGCGAAGGCGGCGAUCUGGGUCGAUACUGACGCUGAGGUGCGAAAGCGUGGGGAGCAAACGGG
rnacentral:rRNA from 1 species